rnacentral:lncRNA from 1 species
AAUGACAUGCAAUCAGACAACAAAAUUAUAUAAUUUAUCUAAAUGCUUAUAUGAAUUGUAUGCUGGCCUCUCAUGAACCAGUUGCUUAAUAUAUUAUUAUUUUUUGAACUUAGGCUAUUUUUGUAAAAUUGUCCAGAUCGAAGCUACUCUCCCACGAACUCAACUAUCCACUUUCUGUGUAUUUGUCUCUCUCUCUUCUCUCUCCUCUUCCCCUUCCACCACGUCACCUCCUCAAACCGCGUUUCUGCCGUCACCUCUCUCGCAUUCGCUCAACUACAAAAUUCAAUUGAUGAGAUAUUUUUCAAAAGGAAAAAAAUCAAAAUAAAUGUAAUUCUUAUCGAUCUUCUGGUGACUUUCUACUUUGACAAAUCCACACGCAAUCGUAAUACUAACAACCGCUCUCUCUCUCUCUCUCAACUCACUUUCUCAGAAAUUUCUUGUUUGCUUAAUCUAAUCUUACCCCUUAUUUAACACACACGCGCACUCUCUCUCCCUCCCUCUUAUCUCUCUCGUACAACACCAAACUUAAAGAUUUGAUUUUCCCCUGUUUUUGCUCUCUUUAAAUAACCCUUUUUAUAUAUUUGUAGAGAUUAGGGAUAUACAAAGAAAAGAUACCACAUUCGUCCCGGAUCAUACAUAAAUUUUCUGUUUUCUCGUGAAUUAGUGUCUGAGAUGGAGAACAAUCAGCAGUCGUUUUGGCAAUUCAGUGAUCAACUGAGGGUGCAAGCAUCAAACUUGGCUAAUCUGUCACUCAACGACUCGAUCUGGAGCAACAAUUAUGGGUCGAAGAGGCCGGAUGAAAGGAGGAAUUUCGACAUCAGAGUCGGCGGUCAAGUGAAUGUGAAUCCAUUCACUAAAGGGUCUGAUUUGAACGCCUUCGAUGAUGGUUACAAGAGUAUGAGCAGCAACUACAACGAUAUUGGCCUAGGCCCUAUCGGCCAGAUUAUGGCCCCUGCCUCGGCCUCUCAAAAGAAUGUUGGGAUCAACGGUGGAUUCAACAAAGGGAUUUAUUCAAAGCCAGGUCAUUUUGGUCUUAGCACCAUCAACACCAACAACAACAACAACAUCAACAGUUAUAUGAAUGUUAAUUUGAAGGGGAAUAGGAAUAGGGAAGAGAAUGAUCAUCAUGGACUUGGAAGCAAGAGUGGCAAGAAGAACAGCAACAAGAAGAACAAUAACAAAGAUGGUGACAAUAAUUCCGAUAAUAAGGACACUAAGACUGCUGCUGAUAAGAGGUUCAAGACUCUCCCACCCUCGGAGGCUUUGCCGAGACACGAAACCAUUGGUGGCUAUAUUUUUGUCUGUAACAAUGAUACCAUGGCUGAGAAUCUCAAAAGACAGCUGUUUGGUAUGUAUAUGCUCUCUUUUCCCUUUCCUUUUCUUCUUUUUUUUUUCAAAAAAUGUUUUUGUGUAGGAGCAAAUUAUUUUCUUCCUAGAUCAGAUUAUUAUUUGGACUAAGGAUCAUCAAUUUAUUUAUUAUUAUUAUUUUUUUAGAUGACCUAUAUGGGGUUGAAUUUUUUUUUUUUUUUUUUAACUUUUGAUUUUAAUUGUUGCUUUUAUUUUUCAGGAUUGCCACCACGUUACAGGGAUUCGGUGAGAGCUAUAACCCCUGGCUUGCCCCUUUUCCUUUAUAACUAUUCCACCCACCAGCUGCAUGGAGUUUUUGAGGUUUGUAAUUUCACAGUCAGUUUUUUGUGUCUCGUAAAGUUGUGUUUAUUUAAUUGACAUCCUGACGAUCUUUCUGUGUAGGCUGCUAGCUUUGGAGGCACAAAUAUUGAUCCUACAGCCUGGGAAGACAAGAAAUGCCCUGGCGAAUCACGAUUCCCAGCUCAGGUAAUUUUCAUCUCUGUUUUAUAUUUGUAGUCAUUGAACUUUUUUUUUAUCGUCGUGGAUUGUGAGAUUAAUGAUUUGAGUAUUGAUGAAAACUUCCUCUGUAUUUCCCCUCAGGUCCGGGUUGUUACACGGAAAAUCUGUGAACCGCUUGAAGAGGAUUCCUUCAGGCCAAUUCUCCAUCACUAUGAUGGCCCCAAGUUCCGCCUUGAACUAAAUGUGCCUGAGGUAAUUUGAUAUUAGUGUUAGUUUAGUCUAAACAUUUUGUUCACUGUGACUUCAUAUUUGAUUCUAAUUUGUCUUCUGGUUUGAUUUUUAACAGGCAAUUUCUCUCUUGGACAUAUUUGAAGAACAAGACUCUUGAGCAAUUGCUGCAAUACAACCAUAUGAAACAAAAGCUUACAGAUACAAGUACCAGUUAGUGAAGUUACACAGCAUAAAAGUGGUUUGAUGAUACAAAUAGGGAAAGAAUUUAAGAGUUUGUGGCCUUCAUUAUAUUGAUAGUUUAGAGAGAGUAUGUGAGGGGAAGUAUGAGAGCUGAAUAUGCACAGUGUCCUUGAUGUAAACAUUUUGUGAGGAGGCUGUUGUUGUGUGUUGUCCUUUUUGUUCUUUUGUUUUAGCUUAUACAUAAAUAAGAGCAAAUUAUAAAGACUUUAUCUAAAGUUCUGGUAUAAUACCGGUUUUAUUUGCAUAUGAUGAAUGCAAUGCAAAAGUUCUGGAUGUUUCUCUCUCUGUACCCUGGCAAGGAUAUGCUCUUCAUUCGAAGCCCCAUUCGUUUGU